rnacentral:rRNA from 1 species
UACGGGGGGAGCAAGCGUUGUUCGGAAUCACUGGGCGUAAAGGGAGUCUAGGCGGUUUGGUAAGUGGGAUGUGAAAUCCCCGGGCUCACCCCGGGACCUGCAUCCCAAACUGCUGAGCUUGAGUACAGGAGAGGGUGGGGGAAUUCCAGGUGUAGCGGUGAAAUGCGUAGAUAUCUGGAGGAACACCGGUGGCGAAGGCGCCCACCUGGCCUGCUACUGACGCUGAAGCUCGAAAGCCAGGGGAGCAAACGGG